CGCGUCAGGCGCCGCCGCAGCCAAGACGCCAGGGGCGGCGCCUCGGAUUGAAAUCACAGAAGGUACACGUGUUGUUCUUAAGAAAAAAAGAGGAAAUUUAAGAAAGACGCUAUGGCAAAGAGAAUAAAAGCUAAGCCCACUUCAGACAAACCUGGAAGUCCAUACCGCUCUGUCACGCACUUCCACUCGCUAGCUGUCAUAGACAUCCCUGGAGCAGACACUCUGGAUAAAUUAUUUGACCAUGCUGUAUCCAAAUUUGGGAAGAAGGACAGCCUUGGGACCAGGGAAAUCCUAAGUGAAGAAAAUGAAAUGCAGCCAAAUGGAAAAGUUUUUAAGAAGUUAAUUCUUGGAAAUUAUAAAUGGAUCAGCUAUCUCGAAGUGAACCACAGAGUGAAUAACUUUGGUAGUGGACUCACUGCACUGGGACUAAAACCAAAGAACACCAUUGCCAUCUUCUGUGAGACCAGGGCCGAAUGGAUGAUUGCUGCACAGACUUGCUUUAAGUACAACUUUCCUCUUGUGACUUCAUAUGCCACACUUGGCAAAGACGCAGUAGUUCAUGGGCUAAAUGAAUCUGAGGCUGCCUAUCUUAUUACUAGUGUUGAACUUCUAGAAAGUAAACUAAAGACUGCAUUGUUAGAUAUCAGUUGUGUCAAACACAUCAUUUAUGUGGACAAUAAGACUAUCAAUAAAGCAGAAUACCCUGACAGAUUUGAGAUUCACAGCAUGCAAUCAGUAGAGGAGUUGGGAUCCAAGCCAGAAAACUUGAGUGUUCCUCCAAGUAGACCAACGCCUUCAGACAUGGCCAUUGUCAUGUAUACCAGUGGUUCUACAGGCCGGCCUAAAGGAGUGAUGAUGCAUCAUAGCAAUUUGAUAGCUGGAAUGACAGGCCAAUGUGAAAGAAUACCUGGACUGGGACCAAAGGACAUAUACAUUGGCUACUUGCCUUUGGCUCAUGUGCUGGAAUUGACAGCAGAGAUUUCUUGCUUUACCUAUGGCUGUAGAAUUGGAUAUUCUUCUCCACUUACACUAUCUGACCAGUCCAGCAAAAUUAAAAAGGGAAGCAAAGGAGACUGUACUGCACUGAAACCUACACUUAUGGCUGCUGUUCCAGAAAUCAUGAAUAGAAUUUAUAAGAAUGUUAUGAGCAAAGUCCAAGAGAUGAAUUGUAUUCAGAAAACUCUGUUCAAGAUAGGGUAUGAUUACAAAUUGGAACAGAUCAAAAAGGGAUAUGAUGCACCUCUUUGCAAUCUAUUACUGUUUAAAAAGGUGAAGGCUCUGCUGGGAGGGAAUGUCCGCAUGAUGCUGUCUGGUGGGGCCCCACUGUCUCCUCAGACACAUCGAUUCAUAAAUGUCUGCUUCUGCUGCCCAGUCAGCCAGGGUUACGGACUGACAGAAUCGUGUGGUGCUGGGACAGUGACUGAAGUCACGGACUAUACUACUGGCAGAGUUGGAGCCCCUCUUAUUUGCUGUGAAAUUAAGCUUAAAGACUGGCAGGAAGGCGGUUAUACAAUUCACGACAAGCCAAAUCCCAGAGGUGAAAUUGUAAUUGGCGGACAGAAUAUCUCAAUGGGAUAUUUUAAAAAUGAAGAGAAAACGGCAGAGGAUUAUUCUGUGGAUGAAAAUGGGCAAAGGUGGUUUUGCACUGGUGAUAUUGGAGAAUUCCAUCCCGAUGGAUGUUUACAGAUUAUAGAUCGUAAGAAAGAUUUGGUGAAGUUACAGGCAGGAGAAUAUGUGUCUCUUGGGAAAGUAGAAGCUGCACUGAAGAAUUGUCCACUGAUUGACAACAUCUGUGCUGUUGCCAAAAGCAACCAGUCCUAUGUGAUCAGUUUUGUGGUUCCUAAUCAGAAAAGGUUGACACUUUUGGCACAACAGAAAGGGGUUGAAGGAUCUUGGGUUGAUAUAUGUAAUAAUCCUGCCAUGGAAGCUGAAAUACUGAAAGAAAUUCAAGAAGCUGCAAAUGCCAUGAAAUUGGAGCGAUUUGAAAUACCGAUCAAGGUUCACUUGAGCCCAGAGCCAUGGACCCCUGAAACUGGUUUAGUAACUGAUGGUUUCAAACUGAAAAGGAAGGAGCUGAAGAACCAUUACCUCAAAGACAUUGAACGAAUGUAUGGGGGCAAAUAAAGUGUUGCUCUCAUUUAUGCACAGGAGGUAGCCUGGUGGUUUUUUAGUUCUAAGGUUUUACACCUUUGUUGAACUCUCUGUUAGAAUGUAAGGUGUAUCAUUCUAAAGACAUGGUUAAUACAAAAACAAAAC